GAGUUUGAUCCUGGCUCAGAUUGAACGCUGGCGGCAUGCCUUACACAUGCAAGUCGAACGGCAGUCACGGGAGCUUGCUCCUGGUGGCGAGUGGCGAACGGGUGAGUAAUGCAUCGGAACGUAUCCUGGAGUGGGGGAUAACGUAGCGAAAGUUACGGCUAAUACCGCAUAUUCUGUGAGCAGGAAAGCGGGGGACCUUCGGGCCUCGCGCUCUUGGAG
rnacentral:rRNA from 1 species